ensembl:misc_RNA Metazoa_SRP Metazoan signal recognition particle RNA
GCCAGGCACGGUGGCGCACGCCUGUAAUCCCAGCUACUCGGAUGGCUGAGACAGGAGGAUCGCUUGAGUCCAGGAGUUCUGGGCUGUAGUGCACUAUGCCGAUCGGGUGUCCGCACUAAAUUCAGCAUCAAUAUGGUGACCUCCAGAGAGCAGGCGACCACCAGAUUGCCUAAGGAGGAGGAGUUCUAUGCCAUGAAUUGUCUGUGCUAAAUUUCCUCAUGUAUGAUGCUACAGAAAAAUCAGCCGCGGAUCGCCUCUGGCAUCCAUCAACAGCUCAAAAUUAAGCUCAAGCCUUAU